rnacentral:rRNA from 1 species
GACGAACGCUGGCGGCAGGCCUAACACAUGCAAGUCGAGCGAGCGGCGGAGGGGUGAGUAAUGUAUGUGGACUGCCCGAGAGAGGGGGAUAACAACUGGAAACGGGGUCGAAGACAGCAUACGGUCCGAGAAUCCAUAUGUGAUUAGCUAGUAGGUAAGGUAAUGGCGUACCUAGGCGACGAUCCCUAGCUGGUCUGAGAGGAUCAGCAGCCACACUGGGACUGAGACACGGCCCAGACUCCUACGGAGGCAGCAGUGGGGAAUAUUGCACAAUGGGCGCAAGCCUGAUGCAGCCAUGCCGCGUGUAUGAAGAAGGCCCUAGGGUUGUAAAGUACUUUCAGUCGGGAGGCGUUACCGACAGAAGAAGCACCGGCUAACUCCGUGCCAGCAGCCGCGGUAAUUC